rnacentral:rRNA from 1 species
AACGAACGCUGGCGGCAUGCCUAACACAUGCAAGUCGAACGAAGCCUUCGGGCUUAGUGGCGCACGGGUGCGUAACGCGUGGGAACCUGCCUUUAGGUUCGGAAUAACUCUCCGAAAGGGGUGCUAAUACCGAAUAAUGUCUUCGGACCAAAGAUUUAUCGCCUUUAGAUGGGCCCGCGUUGGAUUAGCUAGUUGGUGGG